GUCAGUUACUGGCCUCAGCUCUUUGACGGUUGGUUUGGGCAAUGGAGAAUGCUGACAAAAGUCCAUCUAGUCAAAGCUAUGGUUUUUCCAGUGGUCAUGUACGGAUGACUAUAAAGAAAGCGGAGCACCGAAGAAUGGAUGCUUUUGAGCUGUGGUGUUGGAGAAGACUCUUGAGAGUCCCUUGGACAGCAAGGGGAUCCAGUCAGUCCAUCCUGGAGGAAAUCAGUCCUGAAUAUGCAUUGGAAGGACUGAUGCUGAAUUGGAAAUAUCAAUCCUUUGGCCACCUCAUGUGAAGAACUGACUCAUUGGAAAAGAUCCUGAUGCUGGGAAAGAUUGAAGGCACAGGUGGGAAUGCUGUACAUGGCCAAAGAAAAGAACUUUGAACUGGAAGGGAGUACCAGGACUGGAAAAGGUCAGUUUUCAUCCCAAUCCCAAAGAAAGGCAAUG
ensembl:lncRNA